rnacentral:sRNA from 1 species
GAACCCAGGGAGGGGUAACCCUCCUUGGGGGAGAGCGGCGAACGGGUGAGUACAGCGGCGCACGGGUGCGUAACACGUGGGUAAUCUACCUCGAAGUCUGGAAUAACUCCCCGAAAGGGGUGCUAAUGCCGGAUGAGACCACGGGAGCCCCGGCUCCCGAGGGAAAAGAUGGCCUGUGCAUGCAAGCUAUCGCUUCGAGAUGAGCCCGCGGCCCAUCAGCUCGUUGGCGGGGUAACGGCCCACCAAGGCUGGGAAGGGUAGCUGGUCUGAGAGGAUGAUCAGCCACACUGGAACUGAGACACGGUCCAGAGACAUACGGGAGGCAGCACUCCGAUCUGNCAAGAAACUCGAGCCAUACCGGAGAUCUUCU